CAGUCGCCGCGGGAAUACGUAGGUGGCAAGCGUUAAUCGGAAUUACUGGGCGUAAAGCGUGCGCAGGCGGUUCUAUAAGACAGAUGUGAAAUCCCCGGGCUCAACCUGGGAACUGCAUUUGUGACUGUAGAGCUGGAGUGCGGCAGAGGGGGAUGGAAUUCCGCGUGUAGCAGUGAAAUGCGUAGAUAUGCGGAGGAACACCGAUGGCGAAGGCAAUCCCCUGGGCCUGCACUGACGCUCAUGCACGAAAGCGUGGGGAGCAAACAGGAUUAGAUACCCCCGUAGUCCCUGUCUCUUAUAA
rnacentral:rRNA from 1 species